GGGACAACGCAACGGUUCAGGGUGGACACACAGUGGACGAGGUUGAAGCCCCUUCUUGGGCAACGCUUUGGCGCGUGCGUCGCUCGGGAAGCGGAGGACACUGCGUGCAUUCAUGCCGCUGCCGGGUUCAAGUCCAAGGUGACACAAACGUGGAUGAACACGCAGCCGAGCUCCGUCCGAACUUCCAGGCCCUGAGAGGAAACGCUCACCUCACCGAGUUACUCCUGUCCAGGUACCGAACCAGUAACUCCAUGACCGCCUGCGAUUGUUAUCCAUAUAAUUGAUCGACGGCGGUUCACAUCAGGUUGACGCGCACACGCUUCACGAGCAGCCGUUUCCUCAGCUGGGUUUUCAGUGUGACGCGCAGCUUGCACUCAGCCAAUCAGGAAAUCAGUUUCAGGCGGCGUCCAACAUGCGGUCCGAGGUCCACUAGGGGUCUCUACGGUCCGCCUGAGAAGUAUUGGAUCGCAUGACCUACGAGGCCGCACCACUAAACGCUGAAAUCAAAACGCCUUCCCAGCCAGUUUGAUUUAAAAGAAGUACACAAGUCCAUCACUAUUCAGGUGAAUGCUUGAUAAGUUAACAUCUUUUUUCAAAUUUGUUUUGAAUUUAAGGAACUAUUUACACAUUUUCUCAUAAUUUGUGUGUGCUUUUAUUUUCCUUCAAAUUUCAACAUACACAUUUAAGCUUGUCAGAUGUUUUUUUUUCUUUCUUCUGCAAUUUUGCCCAACUGACAAAAUAUAUGGUCACAAUUGUGGACAUGCUGGAGCUUAUCCCAGCUGUUAGAGGGCGAGAUGUGGGAGGCAACCUGGGCAGAUCCAUGGUCGGGUCCAUCACAGGGACACAUACAGAGAACAACCACUUUCUCUCUCUAUCACUCUCUCACACUCACACAGACACAAUUUGGAGCAUCCAAAUAACCUGUUUAAAAAAUAUUAUAAUUUCAAAAUUGUUCUUUUAAACUUCUAGUUUUAGUGUUGCAAAUUGUGUUCCUGAUUUCACCAAUAUGUCUGCACUUAAAGUAAAAAACAAACAUGUCUUUACAGCCCCUGCAGCCUCCUGCUGUUUGAUACUGGUCAGGUGAACUGCAUAAAGUUUAAAAUAAUGAUGGCAAAAGGUUGCAGGUUAAAGUAAUCAAACAAUAGGCUCAAAGGAUGAUUUGUGCAAGAUUUGAUUUGUGACUAUGGUAGUUUCAUGGACAAAACAUAGUUUGCUGAACAGUUUUUUCCCUGUGACAGGUGUGAAAAAUAAAAACACUCAGCCUUUCCUCAGAAAUUAGAUCAAUAUUUCAAGCCCUCAAUUAAUAAUCAGCAACACAUUAUUUAUUUAAAAACACAAAAAUAAAUAUUUGAUCCCAUAAAAAUUACAAAACCCAUUUAUUUACACUUUAGCAAUUUUCCCACAGACACACUUAAGUAACAGUAAAGUAAACAAAGGCUGAUUAAUGCUGGUAAACUUGUCUGUCUCUGUUCUGCUUUGAUGAUGUAGAAUCCAUCUACUCUACUGGACACGUCUCUUGAACUGGAACUGAUUCAAAUGGUGUCUUAUCUUCAGACGAGGUUCCCACGUCCUGCAGAGAAAUACAAUAUAUUAAAUGUUAUAAAACCUCUUGCUGUCCAACAGCUUGACACAUUAAUAAAUACAGAGACUGGCAUCUGCUGUUACAAAAUCAGUUGCCUUUGACCAGUCACACCAUUACAUCUCUAAUGAUAGAUCUUAAUGAGAUAAGUCAUAGACAACAGUGAUUUUGUUUUACUGUAUUUUGCAAACACUCACCUCAACAUCAUUCUGCGAAGGCCGUCUUGCUGCUGGCUGAGGUCUGGAUGCUGCAUCCUCUUUGCUGGCUUCAUCUUGUGAACUGUUCUUCACGUUCAAAGGUUUUUUCUUUGACUGAGCUGAUUUUGAUUCAGUGGGUUUAGUUCUCGUUUGGACAGCACCAUUGCCACCACUUGCUUCAGCUGGGCCCUGCUGGGUCUCUGGGUCUGACAUUGCAGAGUCAGUCUGCUGAGCCUCGCGCUGUGCAGCAUCCAUCUCAUCCUCACUAUAAGCACCAGUGCCAUUUCCUAUAUUUUCAACAAAUACAGGCCUGUGGACUCGUCUUUGAUGAACCUGGUUCCUCUGUAAUCUGGGAUCAUUGGCUUCAUUCAAUUGAGCUUGUUGUGGUGCAUCUCCUACUGCUAAGGGAGCCUGGCCCUCAAUUCUCUGGAGCGGAGGCUGCGGUUCUUCCAGUUGUGGAGCAGGUGGAUCCCUCCGGUGGCGCCGUAGAGGAGCAGUGAUGCCGUGCUGGAAGGCUGCCUGAACGCUUCCAUACAUGAACACC